rnacentral:rRNA from 1 species
AACUAACGCUGGCGGCGUGCCUAACACAUGCAAGUCGUACGAGAAAGUCGGCUUCGGCUGAUGAGUAAAGUGGCGCACGGGUGAGUAACGCGUGGAUAAUCUGCCCUUGAGUGUGGAAUAACGUACCGAAAGGUGCGCUAAUACCGCAUAAUGCCUGGCAACACAAGUUGUCCGGCCAAAGAAGGCCUCUGUUUACAAGCUUUUGCUCAAGGAUGAGUCCGCGUACCAUUAGCUAGUUGGUGGGGUAACGGCCUACCAAGGCUACGAUGGUUAGCUGGUCUGAGAGGAUGAUCAGCCACACUGGAACUGAGACACGGUCCAGACUCCUACGGGAGGCAGCAGUGAGGAAUAUUGCGCAAUGGGGCAACCCUGACGCAGCAACGCCGCGUGAGUGAGGAAGGUUUUCGGACUGUAAAGCUCUGUCGAGCGGGAAGAAAUGUACCAUGGCUAAUAUCCAUGAUAUUUGACGGUACCGCUAGAGG